rfam:Gossypium raimondii Chr13_contig_1162, whole genome shotgun sequence.
UAUUACAAGUUUCAUCCAUUUGUACUGUUAAAAAUUGGCACGACUGACAAAAUAACUAGAUAGUGACACGUGGUGUGCCAUGCCUACCUCAUGCUGAUGUACAAUGACCAAUUUUUAACAGUAGAAAUGGAUGAAAUUUUUAACA